AGGUGGCCCUCCUUCAUCUUAUAGACCUACUAGAUCCUCAUCCACCAUCCUCAGACUUCCUGCAGAACAGGGCUGGGACCAGGAUAAGGAGGAAUACCACAGAGGUGAGGUACCAUUUUCCUCACAUUGUAUCAAGGGUACACAUCAUCAAUAUCAGUUAUUGCGGUCAACGUUGACCUUGAUCCCUACACCGAAGCAGUAUUUGUUACCCUCUUCCCAUCUUCCCAUACUGGAAUCUUUGGAAACAGUAAUGAAGUGUAACUUGCACCUAGGUAGUAGAGAGUAGCUACGUAAAUUAUUUGGAAUUCUUUUGACUGGGAGUCCUGACUCUUUUUUCCCAUUUAUUUUCUUAUUUUUUGUUUUAUUUUAAAUUGACAAAUAAUAGUGGUAUGAAAUGAUCAAAUCUGGGUAAUUAGCAUAUCCACCUGAACUGUUUAUCAUUUCUUUGUUGUGAGAACAUUUAAAAUCCUCUUUUAGCUAUUUAGAAAUAUGCAAUACAUUCUUAUUAACUAUAAUCAUCUCGCUGUGCAACAGAACAGCAGAACUGAUUCCUCCUGUCUAACUAUAACUUCGUCCCCACUGAUCAAUGUCUCUCCUUUCCCUGUACACCCCUGCACUCACCAGACUCUGGUAACCAUCAUUCUACGUUCUACUUCUAUGAGUUUGACUUUUGUAGAUUCCAUAUAUAAGUGAGACCAUACGCUAUUUGUCUCUUUAUACUGGGCUUAUUUUACUCAGUGUAAUAACCUCUAGGUUCAGUCAGGUUGUCAAAAAUGACAAAAUUUUCUGUGUUUUUUAAGGCUGAAUAAUAUUCAUUGUGUGUAGAUAUCACAUUAAAAAUUUCAUCUGUUGAU